UUGGGGGAGGAUUUGGGGCCACAGUAGGAGACCCUGGUGCAGCAGCACAAGGUUAUGGGGUGGCUUUGGGGCUGCAGGGGGAGGUUUGGGAGAUGUUUUGGGGCUGGGGUAGAUUAGGGGGCUACAGGGGGAGGUUUGGGGGUUGAUUUGGGGCUGCAGUAGGAGACCUUGGUGCAGCAAUAUGUUGUUACGGGGUGGCUUUGGGGCUGCGGGGAGAGGUUUAGGGGAUGUUAUGGGGCUGCAAUAGGAGACCCUGGUGCAGCAGUACAAGGUUUUGGGGUGGCUUUGGGGCUGUAGGGGGAGGUUUGGGGGGUUGUUUUGGGGCUGCAGUAGGAGAUGUCAGUGCAGCAAUAUGAGGUUAUGGGGUGGCUUUGGUGCAGCAGUUUGGUUUGGGGGAGGAUUUGGGCUGCUGUAGGAGAUCCCAGUGCAGCAGUGUGAGGUUAUGGGGUGGCUUUGGGGCUGCAGGGGGAGAUUUGGGGGCUGUUUUGGGCUUGAGUAGAUUUUGGGGCUGCAGCUGGAGGUUUGGGGGAGGAUUUGGGGCUGCAAUAGGAGACCUUGGUGCAGCAAUACGAGGUUAUGGGGUGGCUUUGGUGCAGCAGUUUGGUUUGGGGGAGGAUUUGGGCUGCUGUAGGAGAUCCCAGUGCAGCAAUGUGAGGUUAUGGGGUGGCUUUGGGGCUGCAGGGAGAGAUUUGGGAGCUGUUUUGGGACUGGAGUAGAUUUUGGGGCUGCAGUUGGAGGUUUGGGGGAGGAUUUGGGGCUGCAAUAGGAGACCUUGGUGCAGCAAUACGAGGUUAUGGGGUGGCUUUGGUGCAGCAGUUUGGUUUGGGGGAGGAUUUGGGCUGCUGUAGGAGAUCCCAGUGCAGCAAUGUGAGGUUAUGGGGUGGCUUUGGGGCUGCAGGGGGAGGUUUGGGGGCUGUUUUGGGACUAGAGUAGAUUUUGGGGCUGCAGAGGAAGUUUUGGGGGAGGAUUUGGGGCAGCUGAAGGAGAUCCCCAUGCAGCAACAGGUGUUUAUGGGGUGGUUUUGGUGCCGCACGAGGAGCAUCAGGGAGGCUUGGCGUUGCUGCGUGGAGCUUUGGAGCUGCGCUGGGAGCUUUUCAGGGAUCUCUUGGAGCUGGCAUGGAUUUGGGGGUGGCUUUGCUGCCUCCUCUGCUGCUUUGGGGCCUUUCCCACUCACAGCCCUCCACCCUUACAGCCGUAACGCUUUGCCCCCCAGUGCUGCCAACAGAGCUUUAGGACCCCCCUGCCUCCCCAACCUCCCCCCCCGAGCACCCAA